CCUACGGGUGGCAGCAGUGAGGAAUAUUGGUCAAUGGACGAGAGUCUGAACCAGCCAAGUAGCGUGAAGGAUGACUGCCCUAUGGGUUGUAAACUUCUUUUAUCAAGGAAUAAAACGAGGCACGUAUGCCUUUUUGCAUGUACUUUGUGAAUAAGGAUCGGCUAACUCCGCGCCAGCAGCCGCGGUACUACGGAGGAUCCGAGCGUUAUCCGGAUUUUAUUGGUUUAAAGGGAGCGUAGAUGGGUUGUUAAGUCAGAUGUGAAAGUUUGCGGCUCAACCGUAAAAUUGCAAUUGAUACUGGCAGUCUUGAGUACAGUUGAGGUAGGCGGAAUUCGAGGUGUAGCGGUGAAAUGCUUAGAUAUCACGAAGAACCCCGAUUGCGAAGGCAGCUUACUAAACUGUGACUGACAUUGAUGCUCGAAAGUGUGGGUAGCAAACAGGAUUAGAUACCCCAGUAGUC
rnacentral:rRNA from 1 species